AACCUGCCCAAGAGAUCGGGAUAACACCUGGAAACAGAUGCUAAUACCGGAUAACAACAGAUGAUGCCUAUCAACUGUUUAAAAGAUGGUUCUGCUAUCACUCUUGGAUGGACCUGCGGUGCAUUAGCUAGUUGGUAGGGUAACGGCCUACCAAGGCGAUGAUGCAUAGCCGAGUUGAGAGACUGAUCGGCCACAUUGGGACUGAGACACGGCCCAAACUCUACGGGAGGCAGCAGCG
rnacentral:rRNA from 1 species